rnacentral:rRNA from 1 species
UGCGUAGGCGGGUAUGCAAGUCAGAUGUGAAAUCCUUCGGCUUAACCGAAGAACCGCAUUUGAAACUGCAUAUCUUGAGAGUGGGAGAGGUAAGCGGAAUUCCCGGUGUAGCGGUGAAAUGCGUAGAGAUCGGGAGGAACACCAGUGGCGAAGGCGGCUUACUGGACCACAACUGACGCUGAAGCACGAAAGCGUGGGGAGCAAACA